rnacentral:rRNA from 1 species
UACGGAGGGGGCUAGCGUUGUUCGGAAUUACUGGGCGUAAAGCGCGCGCAGGCGGCUAUCCAAGUCAGUGGUGAAAGCCCGGAGCUCAACUUCGGAACUGCCAUUGAAACUGUUUAGCUUGAGGACGAGAGAGGUGAGUGGAAUUCCCAGUGUAGAGGUGAAAUUCGUAGAUAUUGGGAAGAACACCGGUGGCGAAGGCGGCUCACUGGCUCGUAUCUGACGCUCAGGCGCGAUAGCGUGGGGAUCAAACAGG